UGGGGAAUAUUGCACAAUGGGGGAAACCCUGAUGCAGCGACGCCGCGUGAGCGAAGAAGGUUUUCGAAUCGUAAAGCUCUGUCCUAUGAGAAGAUAAUGACGGUAUCAUAGGAGGAAGCCCCGGCUAAAUACGUGCCAGCAGCCGCGGUAAUACGUAUGGGGCGAGCGUCGUCCGGAAUUAUUGGGCGUAAAGGGUACGUAGGCGGUCUAUUAAGUCAGGUGUGAAAGCGUGAGGCUUAACCUCAUUAAGCACUUGAAACUGAUAGACUUGAAUGAAGGGGAGGAAAGGGGAUUUCCUGGUUUAGCGGUGAAAUGCUUAGUAAUUAGGAGGAAUACCGGUGGCGAAGGCGACUUUCUGGACUUUUACUGACGCUCAGGUAGGAAAGCGUGGGGAGCAAACAGG
rnacentral:rRNA from 1 species